GAUGAACGCUAGCUAUAGGCUUAACACAUGCAAGUCGAGGGGAAACGGCAUUAUGUGCUUGCACAUUUUGGACGUCGACCGGCGCACGGGUGAGUAUCGCGUAUCCAACCUGCCCUUUACUUGGGGAUACCCCGUUGAAAGACGGCCUAAUACCCGAUGUAAUUCAUUGAUGGCAUCAGAUAUGAAUAAAAGGUUUAUCGGUAAAGGAUGGGGAUGCGUCUGAUUAGCUUGUUGGUGAGGUAACGGCUCACCAAGGCGACGAUCAGUAGGGGUUCUGAGAGGAAGGUCCCCCACAUUGGAACUGAGACACGGUCCAAACUCCUACGGGAGGCAGCAGUGAGGAAUAUUGGUCAAUGGGCGCAAGCCUGAACCAGCCAAGUAGCGUGCAGGAAGACGGCCCUAUGGGUUGUAAACUGCUUUUAUACGAGAAUAAUUUGAUGCACGUGUGCGUUAUUGCAUGUAUCGUAUGAAUAAGGACCGGCUAAUUCCGUG
rnacentral:rRNA from 1 species